AAAUGAAUAGACGGGGGCCCGCACAAGCGGUGGAGCAUGUGGUUUAAUUCGAUGCAACGCGAAGAACCUUACCAGGUCUUGACAUCCUACGGAUCCUAUUGAAAGAUGGGAGUGCCUACGGGAGCGUAGAGACAGGUGGUGCAUGGUUGUCGUCAGCUCGUGUCGUGAGAUGUUGGGUUAAGUCCCGCAACGAGCGCAACCCUUGCUAUUAGUUGCUAACAUAUAAGGUGAGCACUCUAAUGGGACUGCCUGUGACAAGCAGGAGGAAGGUGGGGAUGACGUCAAAUCAUCAUGCCCUUUAUGAUCUGGGCUACACACGUGCUACAAUGGAUGGUACAGAGAGCAGCGAGGCCGCGAGGUGGAGCGAAUCUCAAAAAGCCAUUCUCAGUUCGGAUUGGAGUCUGCAACUCGACUCCAUGAAGUCGGAAUCGCUAGUAAUCGCGGAUCAGAAUGUCGCGGUGAAUGCGUUCCCGGGCCUUGUACACACCGCCCGU
rnacentral:rRNA from 1 species